rnacentral:rRNA from 1 species
GACGAACGCUGGCGGCGUGCUUAACACAUGCAAGUCGAACGGAAAGGCCCUGCUUUUGUGGGGUGCUCGAGUGGCGAACGGGUGAGUAACACGUGAGUAACCUGCCCUUGACUUUGGGAUAACUUCAGGAAACUGGGGCUAAUACCGGAUAGGAGCUCCUGCUGCAUGGUGGGGUUGGAAAGUUUCGGCGGUUGGGGAUGGACUCGCGGCUUAUCAGCUUGUUGGUGGGGUAGUGGCUUACCAAGGCUUUGACGGGUAGCCGGCCUGAGAGGGUGACCGGCCACAUUGGGACUGAGAUACGGCCCAGACUCCUACGGGAGGCAGCAGUGGGGAAUAUUGCACAAUGGGCGGAAGCCUGAUGCAGCAACGCCGCGUGCGGGAUGACGGCCUUCGGGUUGUAAACCGCUUUCGCCUGUGACGAAGCGUGAGUGACGGUAAUGGGUAAAGAAGCACCGGCUAACUACAUG